UGGGCAGUGGUCUACGAUCGUGGGUUUUUUCUUCUUUUUUGUUGGGAUUAUGUCUUCAUUUUCCUGGUUUUUCUGUUGCAUUUUUGGUUUGUGGGUCAGAGCCGGGAUUACUUAAGGGCGAUGGUUAGGCCGGAAUUCUGGAAGUAGUCUCUUUUCCGCUCUUUCUCACUUUUGGUUUUUUAUGUUGUGUUUAGACGAGUACUCUUUUUCCUCUCUAGGAUUUUUUCCUCGAGGUUUUUCCUAAAGAGGUUUUAACGAGGCUCGGCCCUUAGUCUGUUUUUUUGUGCUUUCAAAGGUUCUUAGGUUUUUUUCUUUUCUUUUUUCAAUAAAAUCGCUAUUUAAUUAAUAUAUUUCAUUUAUUUUUAUAUUUUGAAAUAAUAUAUUUGAUGUGAAAUGGUUUUGAUCAG
rnacentral:lncRNA from 1 species